UCUGGAAAGGCGCGCGAUACAGGGUGACAGCCCCGUACACAAAAAUGCACAUGCUGUGAGCUCGAUGAGUAGGGCGGGACACGUGGUAUCCUGUCUGAAUAUGGGGGGACCAUCCUCCAAGGCUAAAUACUCCUGACUGACCGAUAGUGAACCAGUACCGUGAGGGAAAGGCGAAAAGAACCCCGGCGAGGGGAGUGAAAAAGAACCUGAAACCGUGUACGUACAAGCAGUGGGAGCACGCUUAGGCGUGUGACUGCGUACCUUUUGUAUAAUGGGUCAGCGACUUAUAUUCUGUAGCAAGGUUAACCGAAUAGGGGAGCCGAAGGGAAACCGAGUCUUAACUGGGCGUUAAGUUGCAGGGUAUAGACCCGAAACCCGGUGAUCUAGCCAUGGGCAGGUUGAAGGUUGGGUAACACUAACUGGAGGACCGAACCGACUAAUGUUGAAAAAUUAGCGGAUGACUUGUGGCUGGGGGUGAAAGGCCAAUCAAACCGGGAGAUAGCUGGUUCUCCCCGAAAGCUAUUUAGGUAGCGCCUCGUGAAUUCAUCUCCGGGGGUAGAGCACUGUUUCGGCAAGGGGGUCAUCCCGACUUACCAACCCGAUGCAAACUGCGAAUACCGGAGAAUGUUAUCACGGGAGACACACGGCGGGUGCUAACGUCCGUCGUGAAGAGGGAAACAACCCAGACCGCCAGCUAAGGUCCCAAAGUCAUGGUUAAGUGGGAAACGAUGUGGGAAGGCCCAGACAGCCAGGAUGUUGGCUUAGAAGCAGCCAUCAUUUAAAGAAAGCGUAAUAGCUCACUGGUCGAGUCGGCCUGCGCGGAAGAUGUAACGGGGCUAAACCAUGCACCGAAGCUGCGGCAGCGACACUAUGUGUUGUUGGGUAGGGGAGCGUUCUGUAAGCCUGUGAAGGUGUGCUGUGAGGUAUGCUGGAGGUAUCAGAAGUGCGAAUGCUGACAUAAGUAACGAUAAAGCGGGUGAAAAGCCCGCUCGCCGGAAGACCAAGGGUUCCUGUCCAACGUUAAUCGGGGCAGGGUGAGUCGACCCCUAAGGCGAGGCCGAAAGGCGUAGUCGAUGGGAAACAGGUUAAUAUUCCUGUACUUGGUGUUACUGCGAAGGGGGGACGGAGAAGGCUAUGUUGGCCGGGCGACGGUUGUCCCGGUUUAAGCGUGUAGGCUGGUUUUCCAGGCAAAUCCGGAAAAUCAAGGCUGAGGCGUGAUGACGAGGCACUACGGUGCUGAAGCAACAAAUGCCCUGCUUCCAGGAAAAGCCUCUAAGCAUCAGGUAACAUCAAAUCGUACCCCAAACCGACACAGGUGGUCAGGUAGAGAAUACCAAGGCGCUUGAGAGAACUCGGGUGAAGGAACUAGGCAAAAUGGUGCCGUAACUUCGGGAGAAGGCACGCUGAUAUGUAGGUGAAGCGACUUGCUCGUGGAGCUGAAAUCAGUCGAAGAUACCAGCUGGCUGCAACUGUUUAUUAAAAACACAGCACUGUGCAAACACGAAAGUGGACGUAUACGGUGUGACGCCUGCCCGGUGC
rnacentral:rRNA from 1 species